AGAGUUUGAUCCUGGCUCAGGACGAACGCUGGCGGCGUGCUUAACACAUGCAAGUCGAACGAGGCCCUGCCUUCGGGCAGGUGACCUAGUGGCGAACGGGUGAGUAACACGUGGGCAACCUGCCCUCCGCUCUGGGAUAACCCCGGGAAACCGGAGCUAAUACCGGAUAUGACCACGGUGGACAUCCACCAUGGUGGAAAGUUUUUCGGCGGAGGAUGGGCCCGCGGCCUAUCAGCUUGUUGGUGGGGUCACGGCCCACCAAGGCGACGACGGGUAGCCGGCCUGAGAGGGCGACCGGCCACACUGGGACUGAGACACGGCCCAGACUCCUACGGGAGGCAGCAGUGGGGAAUAUUGCGCAAUGGGCGAAAGCCUGACGCAGCGACGCCGCGUGAGGGAUGAAGGCCUUCGGGUUGUAAACCUCUUUCAGCUCCGACGAAGCGAAAGUGACGGUAGGGGCAGAAGAAGCACCGGCCAACUACGUGCCAGCAGCCGCGGUAAUACGUAGGGUGCAAGCGUUGUCCGGAAUUAUUGGGCGUAAAGAGCUCGUAGGCGGUCUGUCGCGUCGGCUGUGAAAACCCGGGGCUCAACCCCGGGCCUGCAGUCGAUACGGGCAGACUAGAGUGCGGUAGGGGAGACUGGAAUUCCUGGUGUAGCGGUGAAAUGCGCAGAUAUCAGGAGGAACACCGGUGGCGAAGGCGGGUCUCUGGGCCGUAACUGACGCUGAGGAGCGAAAGCGUGGGGAGCGAACAGGAUUAGAUACCCUGGUAGUCC
rnacentral:rRNA from 1 species